CAGCCGCCGCGGGAAUACAGAGGGUGCGAGCGUUAAUCGGAUUUACUGGGCGUAAAGCGCGCGUAGGUGGUUUGUUAAGUUGGAUGUGAAAGCCCCGGGCUCAACCUGGGAACUGCAUCCAAAACUGGCAAGCUAGAGUACGGUAGAGGGUGGUGGAAUUUCCUGUGUAGCGGUGAAAUGCGUAGAUAUAGGAAGGAACACCAGUGGCGAAGGCGACCACCUGGACUGAUACUGACACUGAGGUGCGAAAGCGUGGGGAGCAAACAGGAUUAGAUACCCCAGUAGUCCCUGUCUCUUAUAC
rnacentral:rRNA from 1 species